GAUGAACGCUGGCGGCGUGCUUAACACAUGCAAGUCGAACGAUGAAGCCCAGCUUUCUGGGUGGUUUAGUGGCGAACGGGUGAGUAACACGUGAGUAACCUGCCCUUAACUCUGGGAUAAGCCUGUUAAACUGGGUCUAAUACCGGAUAGGAGCGUCCACCGCAUGGUGGGUGUUGGAGAGAUUUAUCGGUUUUGGAUGGACUCGCGGCCUAUCAGCUUGUUGGUGAGGUAAUGGCUCACCAAGGCGACGACGGGUAGCCGGCCUGAGAGGGUGACCGGCCACCAGGGGACUAAGAGACGGACCAGACGCCAACGGGCGGCAGCGGUGGGGAAUAUUGCACAAUGGGCGCAAGCCUGAUGCAGCGACGCCGCGUGAGGAAUGACGGCCUUCGGGUUGUAAACCUCUUUCAGUAGGGAAGAAGCGAAAGUGACGGUACCUGAAGAAGAAGCACCGGCUAACUACGUG
rnacentral:rRNA from 1 species